UUAGUUGCCACCCUCACUUGCUGCUGACAACCUGCCACACUGCAUGCACGCCCUGCCGCCGCCCCACAGAAAUGCUUUGAUUACCCACAGUUCUUCACCAGAUAAGACCAGUGUCCAGGGCACUGGCUCCCCAUCUCACUCAGGCUUAUGCCAGAGAUAGAAAAUUUGGCGCAGAUGCCUGAGCCUUAGUGCCUCAAGGUAUAGACCUUUUAGCCGAUGCUGUAGCUGUUACAAUGGGGCCAAUGGGAAGAACAGUGAUUGUUGAACAGAGUUGGGGAAGUCCCAAAGUAACAACAGAUGGUGUGACUGCAAAGUCAAUUGACUUAAAGGAUAAAUAUAAAAAUAUUGGAGCUAAGCUUAUUCAGAAUGUUGCCAGUAACACAAACGAAGAGGCUGGGGAGGGUACCACCACUGCCACUGUGUUGCCACGGUCUAUUGCCAAGGAAGACUUCAAAAAGAUUAGCAAAGGUGCUAAUCCAGUGGAAAUCAGGAGAGGUGUGAUGUUAGCUAUUAAUGCUGUCAUUGCUGAACUGAAGAAGCAGUCUAAACCUGUGAUAACCCCUGCAGAUUUUAUUGUUCAGGUUGCUACGAUUUCUGCAAAUGGAGACAAAGAAAUUGGCGGCAGCAUUUCUGAUGCAAUGAAAAAGGUUGGAAGAAAAGGUGUCAUAACAAUGAAGGAUGGGAAAACACUGAAUGAUUUAGAAAUUAUUGAAGGCAUGAAGUUUGAUCAAGGUUAUAUUUCUCCAUAUUUUAUUAACACAUCAAAAGGUCAGAAAUGUGAAUUCCAGGAUGCCUAUGUUCUAUUAAGUGAAAAGAAAAUUUCUAGUGUCCCGUCAAUCAUACCUGCUCUUGAAAUUGCCAGUGCUCACCGUAAGCCUUUGGUCAUAAUUGCUGAAGAUGUUGAUAGAGCAGCUCUAAGCACACUCAUUUUGAAUAGGCUAAAAGUUUGUCUUCAAGUUGUAGCAGUCAAAGCUCCAGGUUUUGGUGAUAAAAGGAAGAACCAGCUUAAAGACAUAGCUAUUGCUUCUGGUGGUGCAGUGUUCGGAGAAGAGUUGACCCUAAAUAUUGAAGAUGUUCAGCUUCAUGACUUAAGAAAAAUUGGAGAGGUCAUUGUAACCAAAGAUGAUACUGUGCUCUUGAAAGGAAAAGGUGACAAGGCUCAAACUGAAAAACGUAUUCAAGAAAUUGUUGAGCAGUUAGAGAUUACAAGUGAAUAUGAAAAGGAAAAACUAAAAGAACGUCUGGCAAAACUUUCAGAUGGAGUAGCUGUGCUGAAGGUUUGUGGAACAAGUGAUGUUGAAGUAAAUGAAAAGAAAAAGAGUUACAGACGUCCUUAAUGCCAUAAGAGCUGCUAUUGAAGAAGGCAUUGUUCUCAGAGGGGGCUGUGCUCUGCUUCGGUGCAUCCCAGCCUUGGACUCACUAACUCCAGCUAAUGAAGAUCAAAAAAUUGGUAUAGAAAUUAUUAAAAGAACACUCAAAAUUCCUGUAGUGACCAUCGCUAAGAAUCCAGGUGUUGAAGGAUCUUUGACAGUGGAGAAAAUAAUGCGAAGUUCCACAGAAGUUGGUUAUGAUGCUAUGAUUGGAGAUUUUGUGAAUAUAGUGGAAAAAGGAAUCACUGAUCCAACAAAGGUGGUAAGAACUGCUUUACUGGAUGCUGCUGGGGUGGCUUCUCUGUUAACUACAGCAGAAGUUGUAGUCACAGAACUUCCUAAAGAAGAGAAGGACCCUGGAGUGGGUGCAAUGGGUGGCAUAGGAGGUGGCAUGUUCUAAUUCCUUGAAUAGUGCUUUACCAUUAAUGAACUGUGACAGGAAGCUCAAGGCGGUGUUCCUCAACUUCAGAGAAGUCAGUUGAAGAACGUGAAGAAAAGACUGACUAAUGUUUAAGAAAAUCACUAUUGCCACCAGUUACUGGUUUCAGUUGACAAAUAUGAUUGUUUACUGCUGUCAUCCAUUGUCCAUGCCUAGAGAUAAUUUAUUUUGUAUUUUUGAAUAAAAAGACAUUUGUACAUUCCUGAUACUAGGUGCAAGAGCCAUGUACCAGUAUACUGCUUUCAACUUAAAUCACUGAGGCAUUUUUACUACUAUUCUGUUAAAAUCAGAAUUUUAGUGCUUGCCAUCACCAGAUAAAAAGUUAAGAAGCAGCCUUUCUGUGGAGAGUAAGAAUAAUUGUAUACAAAGUUGAGAAAUAUCCAAUUAUGUGGCAACCUUUGUGUAAUAAAAAUUUAAAGUUAAAA